AGAGUUUGAUCCUGGCUCAGGACGAACGCUGGCGGCGUGCUUAACACAUGCAAGUCGAACGGUGAAGCCCAGCUUGCUGGGUGGAUCAGUGGCGAACGGGUGAGUAACACGUGAGCAACCUGCCCUCCACUUCGGGAUAAGCCUUGGAAACGGGGUCUAAUACCGGAUAUGAGCACUCAUCGCAUGGUGGGUGUUGGAAAGUUUUUCGGUGGGGGAUGGGCUCGCGGCCUAUCAGCUUGUUGGUGGGGUGAUGGCCUACCAAGGCGUCGACGGGUAGCCGGCCUGAGAGGGCGACCGGCCACACUGGGACUGAGACACGGCCCAGACUCCUACGGGAGGCAGCAGUGGGGAAUAUUGCACAAUGGGCGCAAGCCUGAUGCAGCGACGCCGCGUGAGGGAUGACGGCCUUCGGGUUGUAAACCUCUUUCAGCAGGGAAGAAGCGCAAGUGACGGUACCUGCAGAAGAAGCGCCGGCUAACUACGUGCCAGCAGCCGCGGUAAUACGUAGGGCGCAAGCGUUGUCCGGAAUUAUUGGGCGUAAAGAGCUCGUAGGCGGUCUGUCGCGUCUGGUGUGAAAUCCCGAGGCUCAACCUCGGGCUUGCAUCGGGUACGGGCAGACUAGAGUGCGGUAGGGGAGACUGGAAUUCCUGGUGUAGCGGUGGAAUGCGCAGAUAUCAGGAGGAACACCGAUGGCGAAGGCAGGUCUCUGGGCCGCAACUGACGCUGAGGAGCGAAAGCAUGGGGAGCGAACAGGAUUAGAUACCCUGGUAGUCCAUGCCGUAAACGUUGGGCACUAGGUGUGGGGCUCAUUCCACGAGUUCCGUGCCGCAGCUAACGCAUUAAGUGCCCCGCCUGGGGAGUACGGCCGCAAGGCUAAAACUCAAAGGAAUUGACGGGGGCCCGCACAAGCGGCGGAGCAUGCGGAUUAAUUCGAUGCAACGCGAAGAACCUUACCAAGGCUUGACAUGUACGAGAACACGCUAGAGAUAGCGGACUCUUUGGACACUCGUAUACAGGUGGUGCAUGGUUGUCGUCAGCUCGUGUCGUGAGAUGUUGGGUUAAGUCCCGCAACGAGCGCAACCCUCGUCCUAUGUUGCCAGCGGGUUAUGCCGGGGACUCAUGGGAGACUGCCGGGGUCAACUCGGAGGAAGGUGGGGAUGACGUCAAAUCAUCAUGCCCCUUAUGUCUUGGGCUUCACGCAUGCUACAAUGGCCGGUACAGAGGGCUGCGAUACCGUAAGGUGGAGCGAAUCCCAAAAAGCCGGUCUCAGUUCGGAUUGGGGUCUGCAACUCGACCCCAUGAAGUCGGAGUCGCUAGUAAUCGCAGAUCA
rnacentral:rRNA from 1 species